ensembl:lncRNA
CUCUUUUCUACUGAAGUAAAGCGUGCAACACACUCCGGACAAAAUCUGCACGGUAGCUUUGCGGUAUAAAAUGAGCUACGGAACUGUCCGAGGUUCAAUGGGGUCUCUUCAGAUUUUAACCAGAGCCCGUUAAGCGGGGCCGGUCCCAAUAACUUUAGACACGUUUGCACAGUUGGACCUGUGGGAAGGAAGCGGAGCAGCACCGCGGAAGGAAUUCCUAAAGUGUUGAGCGUCUGCGGCGAAACACUGAGGGAGAAGGAUGUGGUGCACUGUAAUUGCCCUUUCAACGUGAGACAGGGCUUAGCUCACGGACCUUGGUUUACGAUGCCUUGCCUUUGUUAGAGGUGACAGGUGGCAGAAAGCUGCAAGAAAAUGAACUGUGAGAUGUAUAAUUUUCCACUGCAUAUUGAGAUAAAAUGGAGCCUGAAAGAGAACCUGUCUUUAGACUAAUGACAAAGCAUCCAACACAGGGCAUCCAACUGUCCAGAUUUCCUCCAUCAUGUCCACUGAUUUCUGCUCUGAAUCACCCUCUGGAAGAGUCCCCAUCAGCACACAAUUGCACCCCUGGAGACUUCACUGCCGGGUUAUGUAGCAGUCCCACAAAAUGGCAUCACCUUGCAGCAGACCUGCAGUAGUUAAGCACAAAAUGAAGCAGUGGAGCACUCAUAGUGGCUACAGCACACACCACAGCCCCUGCCAGAAAAUGAUGUGGUGUGAAGCCGACAACUGUCACCUUUUUAACCCACAGUUUGGUUCUAGUGUUCUAUACUCAGAAAAUGUCUGUUCAAGGCCCAGAAUAUUGAGUGGCUUGCUGAUGCAUUCCUUCCCACAUAUACAAACCUGGGCUUUGUUUGUUUUAUUGCUUGCUCUCAUUUCCAAGCCUGCAGCAUACGUGCUUCCCUGCAGUGGGAAGGGCUUAGAGGAAGUCCAUCCUGCAAAAAACACACUCCCUAAGUUGUUGCUUGAUUCUAGGAUCCACAGUUAGAAAACAAACCAAAACAUGGAGGCAGCAGAUGAAACCUCAACUACUGGUAAUGCUGAUGCUUCCUAUGGAAUUCUCCAAGCUGCAAGUGUCUCGUAGCCAAAUCCCUCUGACAAAUCGGUGCCUGUGUGGGUAAUAUCAGCACUGUGCUCAAGCAUCUUCCCUACCUUCUUUCCAGCUCAGGCAAUGGCCUGAGGUGGUGCUGGCUGUGAAAUGAGCCCCCAUCACAUAGUAGCUGAGCAAUGCAUAUCUCCUAGCGCAUUUUGUUCCCUUUAACGCAUUUCUUCUUUUUCUUUUCAUGACCUGCUGCCAAAAUCUCUUUGCUAAGGUUUCUGCCACCAUCGGCACCACACAAGAAAAGUGUCUUUGUUAACACAUUUAGGACCUGCUUUUAAUUUCUACAGUAUUCCCUUUAAUAACAAUGUCUAAUUAAAACAUCUGUUAAAAAGUCUGUAACAUUAACUUUACAGGGAGAAUUUAAUAGAAUUAUAUUUGAAUUGCAGCCAUUUAACGGUUUUCCUAAUUAGGCUGUUGAGUUUUUAUUUUUUUAACAAAAACAUUACACAAAUUAAAAUCAGGCCCAGUUUUUUUUUAUUAUUAUUAUUACAACAUAGACUGUGGUCAAAAAAAGGCCGGCAGUAUGUGAUGGUGUGUAAAGGGUGGAAAAAAAAACACACUAGCAGCCUGUGACUGAAACGCUAAAAUGCACAAAAUUAAACAAAUAAGAGAAGAUAUUUGAAAGGGGGAGGAGGAGAAGAGAGAAAAGAAAUUUCUCUGGCCUGUUAUUUGCAUGCUUUCCUUGAACACAAAUCCUUCCAAGUAUCUCCCCGUUGCUCUGUCUCCAGCCCCUGCCACCAUUCACUUCUCCUGGCUCUCACCUGUUUGGACCUUGUCUGAAUCUGGGAGCAAAAGACAUUGUAAAGAAGCCUCAGCAACCUGGGGAAAAAAAUAAAAAAUAAAAAAGGAUUUAUGCUAGAUUUGUGUUUGUCCACAUCCCAGAAGCUUGAGUCAAGACCUUUCCUGUCUGCAUUUCACAAUAUUGAGUGUGUUGGAAGACACUUUUGAGGCUCGCUUCUCCGGAGAGCUUUCCCAAGGUAUUCCCUGCUCUCAGGGCUGCAGACAGGUAACACAUAGCUCCAUGAUGCUUUAAGUUUCUUCCUUCACCAUGGGAAAAAACUAUCACUUGCCUAGCACAGUGGGAGCCAGACCCUCACAGAGUUAUGCAUGAUUGUGCCAGUCCAUAAAGAUGCCAGGUAUGCAGAGAUGUUGCAUGAACAUUAACUAUGCCAUUUCUUUGCAGAAAAGAAAUCUUUCUUUCCUCUGCAAAUGGUGCUUUUUGUGCUCUAAGAUGUUGUGUCUGUUUGCCUAUAAGAGCUCUAGCAGUUAUAUUUGGCAUAUGUACAGAAAUACAUAACCUUCAAUAGAUUCUAUGAUUCUAUGAUCUUCACUAGAAGCUGCAUUGUUAAACUUUUGAAGGCAAAGAUUUGCAGACAUUUUUAAAUAGGAGGAACUCUGGUUCAAGAUUUUAGUUGGAGAGGAGCUAGAACUUUAAAUUUGUGGGAAAACCUCUGCUGUUCCUUUUUUUCACUGUUCUAAGCCAAAACAAAAAGGAAAAAAUUAUACAUAUCCCAGGAAGAGCAUUUACAGUAAUUACUUUUAUAUCACACAUUAUAGCUCAUAAUUUACUCACACUUGUAUGAGGUAUUUCUCAACUGAGACUAUGCAUUUUACAGAGAAGUCUGGUGAUUUUUCACUGAUCCAGUGUCAUUUUUGUGCUGAGAAGGAGCUGCAAGAUAACACUACAGUUUCGCUCUUCAGCAUAAAUAUUUCAUGUAGCUCUCAGCAGAUGCUAAAGUUAGUGCCUGUACAAACAACUCAGAUGAAAUCCGGGCCUCCAAGUUGUCAGUGACAAAACUCUUAUUGACUUCAGUAAAGCCAAGACUUCAUCUUUGGUCUUUAAAUUGAACUUAAAUUUGUAGCGACCACUGGCAAGGGGAAACCCACUUCAAAGGAACGCUCUGACAGUUGGACAUUUCUCUCCCACUGAUCUAAACUGUAGUAAUCUCGUUUUGUUUCCCAAGCUAGCUUGGAAAUCACGUUGAGAGAAGUUCAUCAAAAUAGUUCUUUUGUUCUACUGUUUUCUAGCAAAUCCAAUGAAGCAACUUCCCUCAAGGAAUUUUCUGUACCACAAAGGCCAACCUCAAUAACAAAGAGCAAGUCUAGUAGGAAAAAAAUAACAACAAAACAUUCAUGCAUAGAGAUUAAGAAAUACAUUAGCAUCCUUCAGAGUCCUAGGGCAUUGGUGAGUCUUUGAUCUCUUCUUAGCUCUGCCAUACUGCGUUGCAUUUGUGGCUUUUGGACUCACAACACAAAUCAUAGUCUCUUUAGGGCUCAUGGCCUGUGGAGACCACGUGGAAGGCAAAUAUCUGGACAAUCCUGGACCAAACAUCUAUUUUUCUGUAGCUAUGAGGGGCUUAUCUUCAUUACCAAAUAAUCUAUUUCAGGCCUGUGUUUCUUCCUUCCACCAUUCUGCACACUGUUUCUUGAUAAGAGAAAACACUGAACUGAAUCCAAUUGCAAAUUCCAAAGCCAGAGUUCAAGCGAUGGACUCUGUUUUCUACAAUAACAUUAAAAAUCCAACCAGCUCCUACUGUGACUUAUGAAGUUCCUUGAAGGGAAUCCUCCAAAACUGCCUUUCUGCACAAGGAGGAUCAAAAGGUGCUAGAUGAUUCCACCUGGUCAAUGUUUGUGGUCGCCAGAACUCUACAAAUGCCCUGUCCAAAAAUGAGCUCGAAGGAGCUCUGCAGGGGAGCUGUACACAGGUAGAAGCAUGUACACCGGAGAAGCAUGGUCAACAUGCUUUCUGUGUACUUAAAACCUCAAGGAAUAAAGUUGUUUAGGAACAAAUCCUUGAGAAUCUGCUCGGUUAUUGGUGAGGAGAGGACAUUUUGGUAGUUUCAAAUGGCAUUACACAUUUGUGGAAUAGAAAUUACAGUUCAAUGUGUGGGCAUACUUGAUUGGACAAUCUCUCAGUUGAUGGGUUCUUCUGUUCAAUUACUAUUAAAAUUCAUCAAAUGGAACAGAGUGGUUUUAAUGCCUGUAAUUGUUGUAGAAAAUGCUCUGUAAUUGGUCUUACAAAUGAAGCUGAAGAGCAAGAUCAAACUCCAUUGAAAAUGAAUCUGUCUUUCCACUGAAGAGUUCAAGAGUCACUUUUAAAAUCCAUUUUGCAGGAAGGUGUUUAGCCAGUCUCAACUCCUGUUCAUUUUGUGUGGCAGUUUUUAUUUGCUUCUUUUGGCCUCUGAUACGUAAAUGAAAUCACCAGCUCCUGAACUUGGCUCCAUGUUCUCCCCUGCCUUGUAAAUUCAAAGGAAGGGCAGUGUUACAGGCAAUGAACAGCAGACCAACUCCAAAGGCAACUCAGGUGCAUUUGGGAAGUCUGGCACUGGGAUGAAGUGAAGAGACUGCAGGUUAGAGCCGUGCUGCCUCUGGUGGAGGAGCCAGAUCCUGAAGUUUUGCCCCUUUGGCAAAUCUUGCAAACCUCUGCCUCUUGCUUUUUAUGGGUGGAGGGGAGUUAUAUUUAGCCUUGUCAGAUGAAAUGAGAGGCAAUCUAAGAGCAGGGAACAAGCAGACAGUGAGAAUUUAAGAUACUUUUGCCACAAAAAGCACUGUCACCUGGAACUCUACUGUUAGCGAAGAAAGUGGGAAAGCAAGCAGGAUACUUAGUCAAUUUUCAGAGCAUCAGUCUAAUUGCAUGUUCCACAGAGUUCAGUGAACACUUGAAUCAAAAGUAUCCUACAUUUUCACUUAAACAUUUUCCUGCACAUCAAAUGCCUCCCUCAAAUACGGAAAACAUGGAUGCAAGUCUGCUAGACUGCCAUUCAGUUCCUUGGUAUCCCCAACCACUGGACCCACCAUCUCAGGAACCAGUAUUUACUUCUCCAUUUCUUUCUCUCACCUCUUAAAGACUCCAUACAACAACUUCUGUUCAGCAACUUUCUAUAACUGCCUUCUCUCUGCCCCUAGCUCUCACCCCAGCUUAAAACUUCCUGCUUGUCACCAUCCAUUCUGGAAAACACAGCUUAUUGUUCAUACCGCUUCUGUCAGGUCUUUUCUGCUUUGUCUACUUUGAAAGAAUUAAAAAGGGAGCUCAGAGGGGAUAAUUCUCUUUGUACAGUGAGUCGAGAGCUUUCCAUGGCACCUCCUCUCAUGAAAUGAAGUGAUGGCUGCGGAAGAAGAGGAAAACAGAUCUUAAACUGAAAACAGCUAUGUUACCACCCCCAAAGCAGUUUAAAAUCCCUCUCCAUGUUCCUGAUUUGUUACCAGAGCAUGCUAUUCAUGCACAUGCAGGCUGUCAUCAUUAGUCUGCACAUGUGAAAGAAGUUCUGUGCAGCAGUUCCUGAGGAAAAAAAGAGAAACUGUGCAAAAGCACCACAAUUAAGUAUAAACUCAGGCAUGCCUACAAGCAGGUAGCUGCAGGAAAGUGACUGGUUCUAAUUAAACUCCAAACAUAAAUAGAAAGACCAGAAUUUCAAAUAGCACCUAACAAAAUUAAGAAAAGGUCACAGACAUGGUAGUAUUUUUUAAAACCUACCAGCUCUGUUUAUGAAAACAGAUUACUUGUGAUUGUGAUUACUUGGUACACAUUCAGCACUAACUGGCUCACAGUUUUGUUGUGUAUUUAUGUACUUUGUAAAGUGUCUGUGAAGCAUCAGGAAAGGCCCUAAGUCUGCCCACAGAGCCACAGGUGGCCAAGUCUGUUCCACCACAAACUUCUGCAGGGGAUGAGCAACGUGAGAGGCAGCAGAGGGUGCUGGGUUUGUUAGGCCCAGAGCAGGGGAGGCUGAGGGGAGGCCUCAUGGCGGCCUGCAGCUCUAUCAUGGAGGCCUGCAGCUCCACCAUGGUGACCUGCAGCUCCUCACAGAGAGCAGAAGGGCAAAAGGGCUCUGAGCUCUGCUCUCUGGGGACAGCAAGAGGGCCUGAGGGAACAGCAUGGAGCUGUAUCCAGAAGGCUCAGGGGGGUUAGGGAAAGGUUCUGCCCCAGAGGGCAGUUGGUUUGGAACAGGCCGCCCAGCAGGUGUGUCAGCAGGUGUGAUGAGAAGCACCUGUGUGUCAUUAGGGUCACACAACCCUGCUCCUUCAGCCCUUCUGUGGGGGAGAUUUCUGUUUGCUUCCUAGCCAAAGGUUUGUUCUGUGCUCAGGAGGCAUUCAUGGCCCUUCUUGGGUUAUUUCUUUUCACCAGAAAUCAAAAGAAUUUUCUUCAAUUUCAGCUGAAAGCAAUUCCAUAUUUAGGUGGGAAAGGGCACUUGUCUGUGGUAAAGGUGCCUUGCUAUGAAAGAUGUGAUUUAACUAAAGUUUAAUUAUGUGUUGAAGCAGCCAUUCUGAUUGCAAUGUUUAGGCUGUAUUAGUAAUUUUUUCUAGUUUGUGACAAUUAUGCCUCUUUGUAGCCACAAGUAGUUUCAAAUUCUUUUUACUCAUUCAUUAAAAAUAAACCUGAAUUUCUUCAGCAAUUAGUAGUUACUAAGGAAAAAAUAUGUAUAUAUCAAUGUUGAUAGUCACCUGUGAAUCAGCACCCAGAGAGCUGUUUGGAGCAGGCAGCAUUGCUGCUGUUUGCUGUUCUGCCUGUAGCUAAGCAGCAAGCUGAGAAUUGUUUUAGCUGAGCUCUGAAGGAUAUUGCAGCUUGCCUCGUGCAGGCUGGUAGGUGGAAUGCUGGUAUUACAAAUGUGAAGAUGAAUAGAUAUCUUUGGAUCAAAAUGCGGCUUCAAAGUCAAACAAAAAUUACAGACCCGUUUGAGUCUAUUGUAAUGACAAUAACAACAGAAGGAGGAAGAUAAAGGUCUUGAGCAGGGAGUUUUGGGGGAAGCAGGAGAUUGCUAGAAACAGUUUCUGAGAUCGAUUGAUUUGAAUAAUACUCUUGGGCACAGAGAACAUAGAGAGGUAAUGCCUGAAAAGAAUAAAUCAAAUAUCUCAUGGCAUUUUAUGCAUUCAUUCCUCUCCUGGACUCUGUUUUUAGUUUUCAAAAAUAUGAACGAUUCCAGGCAAGCAGAGAAUGGCCUGUAUAUUUCCCACCGUGAUGAAUAGUUGCAUGUUAGCCUGUUCAUUUAAUGACAGCUAUGUAUAGUUCCCAUAAUAAAUCAGACUCCAGGACACAAAUGCCUUCUGUUUACCUUUGAAGCACUUUUUUUUUUUCUUUCCCUGAGAAUUGUGAUUGUUGCAAAAGCCUGAUGUAUCCACCCACACAGCAGCACCCAAACAGCUUGUUACUUGCAGGUUUCAGUCCUGCAAGGUCCUUAGUCCUCCCAGUGCCGCAUGAUGCCCCAAGGCACCCGUGUCUUGCAGGACUGAAACCUGCACAGGCUGCAGAAAAUGGACUCAGCCCACUGUGAGCAGUUAAGGGGAAAGUUCAGUCUGCACUUUGCAUGAAAAGUCUUGUUUUAAUCUGACUCUCGGUCAAUUAGUUUGAUCAUUACAUUAUAAACACUUGUCAUCUUUUGUAACAUGUGCCUUUGAAAAGCAAUGCUUGAACUUCUCAGCCCCCGAAGUCGCAUAUUUUUAACCAGAAGUUACACUAUGACUUCUCUGUACAAUAAUUAACCGAUAUGUUUCUUGACAUACAUAUACUGAAAUUCUCUUUGAUUUUAAAAAUCAGCAAUAUUGAAAGAUGCACACUUUAAGUCACUCUAUGCCAUCUUAAGUUACAACUGUGACUUCUAGAUAGCUGGUAUAACACUAAUCAUCAUCUAAUAAGAACACCUGACUCAUACCUGCCGGAUGAGAAGCGUGUGAGAUGCAUUCUUGCACUGCUCCAGCCCCAAAACAUUAUGCUCAAGAGAAAAGAGGGCAAUUUCUAUCUGUUUUUAUUUAUUUUGGGAAAACUUUCCAUGCAAAUAAAUGUAGCACAAAGUAUUGAGAACUGCCAAAAGACAUACAGAUUAUGUAUAUUUUUAUAGCCACAAAGUCACUCAAAUGACUUUGCUUCCAUUUCAUUGUUUGGCAUAGAUCACUUAUUGUGCACAUGUUUUCAGAUGGAAAUGCUGAAUUAGACUAUGGCAAAAUGGAUAAUGCAGCCCUAAUGCUAGCAUGAGCUAAUAAGAAACCAGCAAUGAAUCUACUGCUGCAGAUUGAAGUACAUGCAUUUCAUAUUAUUACUCAAGGCUUGUCUCUCCGAUUAGAUGAUUGCAUAACCUUAAUAUUAUAAAUCUUGCAUGAUGUGAAUUGUUCAGCUGUAACCAUAAUCAGUUUUUACUAAGGUGGCAUUUCUGUCAUCUUGUUAAACACAAACGUUAUAUAUGCGCUAGUCAUAAUUUUAUAACAGUUGCUUUUAGCAAGAGACGGUUUUGUCGGUCGGGAGCCGCAGUUUAGUGCAGAGAUGCAACGAAAGUGCUUAAGUUGCUCAUAAUGUCAGUGUUUGCUUCAGAAAAUAUCACUUUGUAGAUUCUUUCAUUUUCUGAGUGCAAAUUUCUCUUCAAAAGAAAUGGAAAAACUUGCAAGCUCUUAGCCAGAACUCUCUGAAAACCACUUUUCAGAUCUACUGAGACCCAGGUUUAUUUAAUCAAGUGGAAGCUGCAUGCUCUGCAGAAGCUGCGGCACCCUGUGGACCUUCUCCAGCGCUGCGACUCAGCUUGGAGAGCCCCAGUUAUUUCAACCCCUUUUUCCACAGAGGAAACACAGUUGAUCUCCUCAUCUGUAAAUUACCGCUGGCAGGGCUUUAUGGGGAUGCCACUGCCACCAACAUUUAAGGGUUUAAGACCCCCCCUAUAAACCUCAGCAAGGUUCUCCUCUCCUAUCAAUUCACCAGGGAUUUGUGCAGUUAAAUCUCACAGCGGGUAAUAAAUUUCCUGGCACAUCAUGGGAUGAAGGGGACCCGACUGGCACUGAUCUCGGUGGGUUGAGUCCAGCUUAUCUCCUUGACAAAUUUAUUGCCUUCAUCACGUGCUCUGGAGAGAAAAAGCCAAAUCCCUGCCUUGUAAUGGACACUUUCCUAUUUUUUACUGUAGAUCUUGCAUUGAGAUAGGCCUUAACAAAGAAGAACAUGCUGAAGAGAUAAGAACAAUUCAGGCAGUUCCAUGUGCUGUAAUGUGCAGAAAGCCCAGAGACUGCAUAACCAGGGCCGUGGGAUUACAAAAGAAGAGUUACAAGCUCUCCUCAGCUCCCUGGCUUAUAAUAAAUCUAAUCAAGGGAGAUUUCUCGUUGGUCUUAAUGGCAGUGAAAACAGUCCUAUACUCAGUAAUUUCAUACUCAAAUCACAUUUUAGGUCUAAGCUAGUAGAAAAUCUAAGGCCAAAUAACUUUUAUCAGAUGAUCUGUUGACAUGAUUUUCUUAUAGGAGUUAUAAAACAAUCAGUGCAGUGGCCUGUUUGGAACAAAAGAGUUGUUUCUGUUUUGAGCAUGUUUAGUAUCACUGGCACACUUGUCGGUGUAGAAAUCAGUGUCUUCAGAGACAAUUACCAGGCGUGAGGCAAAGGUAAGGGGGGCAACACCAGAACUAGAAGAUUUGACCGCACAGUGCCCCUGCACAUCAGAAUUGAGAGAGAUAAAAUUACCCUGGGACUCCCUGGCUGCUCACAGCCCAACCAAGGUUGUGCCAAUAAAGGUUCAUAUAUCCACCAGCCAUUCCAAAGUCACUUGUGCAAAUCAGAGGUUUUUCUGGCAGCUGCUUGCUCUCAGCCUGUAGCUCCUGCUACAGUAAGAACUGCAGAGCCUUGUUGGACAGUUAUUAUCUGUAUGGUCCAGAGAACGACCUGCAGAAGCCUCCAGCUCCCAAAGCUUCUCAACACUGGGCAAGUCCAGGCUCACACCUUAAAUUCCAUACUCAGGUCUUACUGGAGCUUUAUUUCACAAGCCCAUGAGGGGGAGGGAGGGGUGGCUUGUGUGGCCACUGGUCCUGCAGUAAACCCCAGCCAGCAAUUUCUCUGCAAAGUUUGCUGUGCUGAAACCCUGACUGACACUGGGGUGGAUUUCUAACAUGGCUGAGAGGAAAAGAUAGUUUUUAAUAUCAGUUUAAAAAAAAAAAAAAAAAAAAAAAAAAAAGAAUGUAUGGCUCCUAUAAACUGUUAAAACUUCACUUUAUUGAUCAUAAAUCUGUGUUUUGCUCAAUGCAAAAGUUUUUCAUCUUACACAGAAAAAUGCUGAAACAGCUACAAAUGCCAAAAACACAAAGUUUUCUCUCUUGGACAAUUUAUAGGGAAGUUAUUGGAUUUUUUGUUGUUGUUGUUUAAAAGCAUUCUUACCACACUGCUUGCCCACUGGUUUGGAGAAAUUACCUUUCAUUGCCAAGCUUUGUCCCUGACCUUCUCUGAUAGGAAGAGACCUGAAAAAUAAAGCUAGCCUCUUUUACAUACUGCUGGAGUUGAAAGGGUUGAAUAGGAUGAGAAGUACAAGCCAUGGGAAUGAGGGUUCAGUACAAUCAGGGAAGGACAUAUGCUAUUGCAAACGUACUGCUGAACAGGCAGCAAAACUGCUGUGGAGCACAGAGCUCACUGCAGACAGAAAACCCUGUGCCCAGCUUUAUCCCGUGGUCCACCCCCCAAACCUCUCCAAAACAUGAUGGAUGCUAUCAGUGCAGGACCACCAGGCACCCCAUGGGGAACUGUUCUGGGAGUGAACGUGGCCCUGGGGUACAUCCCCAUGCUCAGUGGCUCUGGGCACAGGCCCAUCUGUGUCCCAGUCCCUCUUUCUACAAGUGGGGUAAUGCACCUUGGGACCGAGAGAUUAACAGCCCUGUUUUGGUAUUAAUGAUCUGCAAAGGCUGGGAAGGUGCCGAGCAGGGCAAAGAAAUCUUGAUUUAUGAAUAGUAAAACACAAAACUGGAAGGAAAAAAUAGAGCAUUCUAGACCAACCGAGGGUGGUAUUGAGACAGGGGAGCUUUACCCUCUGAAACAUGUAUUUAACAUGGGUAAUCUUUACAGAAUUGUAGAAUAUCCCGAGUUGAAAGGGACCCACAAGGAUCACCAAGCCCAACCCUCAGCUCCACAUAGGAACACCCAAACCCACACCCUACAUCUAAGAGUGGUAUCCCAACGCUCCCUGAGCUCCGGCAGCUCGGGGGAGGAGCAAUAGGAUAAAGUUUUCUGUUUUUCUUUUUUUUUCUUUUGCAUCCAAUUAUUGCAAAUCAUAUGAAUUAUGCUUUUUUCAGUUGUAACCUGGAAGCCCCCUUUCUUCUGCUUGUUCUCCAUCAUGUUGUACAUCAGCUCUCUGUGCUUCCCUACAGUGGUCAGCACCUCCGUCGAGAUAAUGGACUGGAUCAUCACCUGGACAGCAUUUCUCUUCAGUCAUAAAUCAUGAUGGGAAUACUGUAAACAAAAGCCAUGAAAUAUGAACCCACAUAAAUAAAGGAAGGGAAGGACUGCAUUGCCUGGGGAAAUCUGUGCAAAGAAGUUGGGGGGGGACAGGGGGGAGACUUGCACUGUCAGAGGAACCUCAACAAAUGCAUAUCCUGAUUUUAAAGUUUAACUGUUACUAUAAUUAUUAAGAUUGGCCUGCUCAUGUGUCUCACAGGAAGCGGCUUUGUUCUCCUUUCUGCUAAUUUCACGUGUUUUCUGUUCCUCUUGGGCUUUACUUUUAUUUCUGUGCUUUUCCCACUUCUAGUAUUUCUGUCUACAAAUACCUUUGUUAUUUCAUCAUCCUUCCCAGCACACAUGGUCACCAACUCUUGGACAGUUUCUUCUUCCUUUGCUUCUGUUCUGCUAAAUUCACAUACUUCUCGGUACCAAGCUGAGACCUCCAGACAGCUCCUGCAGCAAAAGAUAUGGGUCACGCAAGUCUUGAGCUUUAGCUGUCAUUCUUGUUCCAAAACUGGGAUACAAGCACAUCAGCAUGCUUCAUUAAACCCAAAAUGUCAAAUCAUCCUUCACAACCACCAAGCCCUCACGAAUAUGAGCAGCUCUGUGGUUUUGGAGAAUUUUGUGAUAAAGGACACAGCAUUUAGCAGAUGGUACUAUUAGGAGGAAAAGUAGAAAAAAAGGAGGAGGGAAGAAGAAUGUUAAAAAAUGUGAAAAAAUGAAUAGCCUUGAAGUCCUAGGUGCUGUAGGGAUUCCUUGAUGCUAAAAUUGUUGUUAAUCUUGUAAUGAGAAUUCACUCUUUAUGUUUAUUGAAACAGAGGUGAAAAGGAAGAGAAUGCAUCACUGCUUUACAUCGUAACUGAAGCGAAUCUGCACGUCCAGUCCACUGAGGAGACAGCUCUGUUUUCCUCAGCAUCGCUGCAGACAUACCAGGAAGUCUAAAAUACUUUGGGAAGUAAAAUUUUGAGCAGUUAUUUUAUAUAUGUCAUAUCCAGUGGUUCACCUUGCUGCCCUGAGGCCACUUCCGUAUGACAGCUAAACUGCUGAGCGCUUAUUUAGCCUAAUACUGGCUGCCACUGCUAAUUCCCUAGCCUGUGGGAUCCACUACUUUGUGUUUCAUAGAGCUGAAAGACCCUAUUUUAGAAAAUAGUGUUUGUAUCGAAAACUGAUGCCAGUGCAUCACCACUCCUUCAGAGAAGGACUUGACGAACUCUCGCUUUUAGUGUUUCAUUGAAUGUUUGGCUCAGUUUCCUUCUGACGAGCAAGGAUUUUUGCAUGGGUGUAGUUUUACUUUCUAAAAUAACAAAUGUCUGUCUGUUCGGUGAUGUGCGUGCAUCAGAAGACAGGGUAAAAUAAACAGGCUGAAGGGCUUUGAUUUGCAGCACGGUUAAGCAGUGCAGGUAGAGCUGUGUUUCUUUUGGAUCAGCUGCUUUGCUUCGCCUUUGCAGUGCACUUCAUAAAUGCUGCAGACGGGUUUUUCAGAGCUUAUAAACUUAGCAGAAAUAAAAAGAACUAAGGGGCCUGACAGCUGAGAGAACUUUAUAAGUGCCACUGAAAGCCAGUAGGUCCCCAGCUCCUGGGGAGUAUAUCAGAGCCCUUGCAGGGUUUAUAAAUUCUGCUUAUUUACUGGCAGGUUUCCAUCCUGGUCAUAAAAGCCAUAGGUCAAAAAGCUCUGUUAGAUGGGGAACACGAAACCCAGCUUUCAUUUAACUCCAGCUUCUUGCACAAGGCUGUGUAGCUCAUCAGUGCAACUGUGGUGUACAGCCCUAAAUGUCACUGGGAGCCCAACUGAGGACAAGUGUCCACAGCUCCUGGCUUUGUGUAGAGCAGAUCCCUGAAGAAGUGAGCUCCCGUUCAGGCUCUAUUUAUAUCAGUCUUUGCUCCUUACAAUAGGGGAAACCCUAAAGGUUUGCUCAGGAGGGGUUUUGUCCCAGUUCAUCUUAACCCACCUCCAGGGCUGCUCCGAGCCCCUGGGGUGUGAAUCGAUCUGCUGUUUCCUUCUCCUUCAUGCACCCAUCUCCAUCUCAGAAAAUCUGGGCUCAUGAAUAGACCCAUUUGUCCACAGGAGCCCAAGCAGCUCCUCCCCUGCUCCACAUCCCUCAGCACUGCUAUGGGCAGGAAGAGGAGGAAUCACCAGAUCACAUCAGGUUCCUUCUAAGUAUCGCAGUCCUGGCUCAGCUCCACCCCAGCUGACAAGCUGCUUUAAUGGAUAGGCAGUGGCCUUCAGUGGAGGGGCUAAAUGUAAAACUUUCCUCUGCUUCUCUUGUCAAAGUUAAAAGCUUUUCAUGCCUGUGUUAAUGUUUCCUUUUUUUUUUUUUUUCCCUCCUGUCUGCUGGCACCAAUGACAAAUACUACAUCUUGCAUUGAGUAACAGUAUAUUGAAUGGCUGGCAGAGGCAGAAUACGGCACCUGUAAUUUAUCUCCGGGAGUUUGGGUUGGAUGACACUGCUGGGAACAGACCGGGGCUCUGAGCUGUCACCUGAUUACUAAUUCUAGGAUUUCUCCUCCGAGAGUGAGAAGGAGUGAGCUAGGAUGAAGGGUACAAAAAGCAAAUCAAUAAACAGGUUAGUUCAUCUUUGCAGAGGUUCCUUAGGAGAGCCCCUGGCAUUUCCCCUUCCCUGACAAUGGGUCAUACCUCUAUGGGUAAUGGACAGUGGGUCUUCAUGCUUUCCACAAGUGACAAACAACUGAGCAGCUCCAAGCACUACAAAUGAACAUGUGAUCAAGUGUUUCUGCUUAAAUUACCAAUAAAAUGCUAAAUCUGUGACAGAAUAAAUUGGCUGAAGAUGAAUCCCCCUGACUCCUGUCUGUGCUGCUGCUUUUUCAAAUGAAAACCCUCAUAAAGAAAUUAAGCUGGUUGAAAGGAAAAGCACCUAAAUUCGCAUAGCUUGCAUGGUGGAGGGUUUCCCAGAUUGCUCCAUCAUCUGGACCAGACCCUUCUUCAGGAAUACUCUGCUGCUUCUUUUUUGUUUGUUUGUUUUUAAAAGGUUCCCACAGGCACACUUCUGAUGGUGCUUCAAUCUCCCUAAUUGUUUCUGCCCAGUGCUGCUGCCAGGAGAAGGGACCCAGAGGCUGAGGGCAGCACACACAUGCUCAGACUUAAGGGCUGCUCGCUGCCCUGUAGGUGUGAGGCUGAUGGCAAUACGCUGCUCACUGCUUUCAUCUUUCCAAACUGCAUCUUCAUCACCUGUCCUCCAGGCAGACAUCUGAUAUAGGCUAAGUCUCCUGGCCCCCAGAAUGAAAGGGUCCAUGCUGGGAUCACCUAAAUCAAUUGGACUUUGCCACAAGAGAAUCACAGAAGCAUAGAAUCAUAAAGGUUGGAAAAGACUGCUGAGAUCAUCAAGCCCAACUGUCAACUCAUCACCACAAUGCCCACUAAACAGUAUCCCUAGAAUGGACUCAAACAAUGCCAGAUGCUUGGAAGUUCCUAGAUAUGUCCUAAAAAUAACCCAGCAAAGAUCUUUCAGAUGGUUCUUGGAGGAAACUUCCAUUCAGAGCAGCUAAAGAGAGAGCCAGCAUAAACUUGGGACAGCAUUUGAGGCUGUUUCUCAAGGAAGGGGUGAGGUUGGUCACCUAGGAGAUAUCUUUGGAGCAUGAGUAGUGCAGCUGCCUUUCUUUGGUCUGUCCCAGACUUACUUAGUUGCCCUCAGCAUCUCAAGACGUUUUUUCAGCUUAGCUUCCUACUGCAAUGUUGGUAGGUUCUGUAUUUAGUACAACCAAUCUUUAAACAUGCAGUAGAGAAGAGAGAGGUAUCUUUUAGUUCUUAACCUCAUUAAAAGCAAGCCCAAGAUCAUAGGGUCAUAGAAUCCCAGGAUCACAGAAUCAUAGAAUAGCUUGGGUUGGAAGGACGUUAAAGAUCAUCACAGCAGAGCUCCCUGAAUUCUUGUCUGUCAGGCAAGGUCCUGUGAUAAGGCCAAGGAUGAGCCCAUUACCACCAGCAUCUCUGGGCUCUGGGAUGAGGUGUGAAGCAUCUGCAAGGGUUUUCCACAUUUUAUGGUUUCCAUCAUCUGCUGGGACCCUAACCCCUGCCCACGCUCACUAGGAAUGGGCAGGAAUUACUGGUUUUGUGGGAAACAGAAGAUGCAGACAUGGUUGUCUGGUUUUACAGUUUGCAAGUGCAGUUAUUAAAAUACUCCAGCACUUGUUCAGCCUCCAGUAACAUGGUUCUCUGUUCUGUGGUGUUAUGUUGUGAUUGAAACCCACGUCAGGUACUAUAACGCUGCCCCAGCUGCUAGAACCAGUGCAAGAACUCAAGAGUUACCACCUGAGAGCGGUCAGUCAUUGGAACAGGCUGCCCAAGGAGUCACCAUCCCUGGAGGUGUUCAAGGAAUUAGGAGAUGGGGCACCAAGGGACAUGGUUAGGGCGCAUGGUGGUUGGGUUGGGGUUGGACUUGAUUAUUUUCGAGGUCUUUUCCAAUAUUAAUGACUCUAUGCUUCUAUGAUUUUAUUAUUAUAUGAACUCAGAUGAAGAUUCCAGAAGUGCCUGUGGGACAACCUGAGGCUGUGCCACCCACAUAUGCCCCACUGCCACUGCCAAGCUCCCCUCUGCAUAGCAUGUUUGUUUGUGCCAUGGAGAUGUCAGCUCAGCCUCCGGGGUUCUGUGAGACUUUCAACAUUAGAAGCUCAAAAAAAUAGAGAAAAUAAAAUAAAAUAAAAUAAAAUAAACCACACCUAACAAACAAACAAAGUAGCAGCUGCGAAGCCAGCAUUAACGUGUUUAGGUUUGAUUUUGAUUUUUAAAGGGCUAAUGACAAAGGAAAGCUCUGGCUCUGGAGCCUCUCUGCAGAGUUGAGAUCUAAUGCUUCUAGAAGAGGGCAGCCUCAUGAAUUCAGAGCCGCUUGCUUCCUUUAAUAUGCAUCCUAUUGACUAUGGCAAGAACACCCCCCUGCAAGCAUUAAUUGGAGCAAGCGGCGUCUGACAAUUUUUGUUUAAACUGUAGAAGACUCCUCCCUGGUGGGAGAUGUUCAGCAAUCAAAGAGAAGACAAAAAACAACAAAACCUGCACAUGGGCUGGUUGUGCUGCGGAUAACCCAGUGGAGAGCAGCCCUGGAGCUGCGGGUGUAUUUGGACAAGGUGACCUCGCACCGAGCACAUUAGUUGUAUUAUCAGCCUAUAAACUGUCUCUCUGCUUUACGUACCCGUAUGGCCCACAUACUGAAAGAGAAGAUUAGCUUGAUUAUCAAUGGGGGAAUGAGCCAAACAAUUACUUUCAUUAUUGAAUAUCCAAUUAAUUAUUCAAGAGGCCAAUCAAUUAUUCAUAUCUCAUUUAAACUGGGCGGGGGGAGAAGUGUUGCCACUUGGCAGAGAUGUUCACAGCCUCUUCAGAUACAGCAUCAAUUCUGCUGCAACGGGGUGGAAUGAUGGUGGGAGCAAAAGCCAGGCACCCAGAUGAUUUUCCCAGUGGAUGUCCAUUAUUAUUGCCUUGCAGCACCAUCCAGAGCCCCUUCCAGCUCAGCACAAGGUUGGAAAAGACCUCUAAGAUCCC